rnacentral:tRNA from 1 species
CGCUGUAAAGCUAAUAAGCAUUAACCUUUUAAGUUAAAGAUUGGGAUAAACCUAUCCCUACAGCGA